rnacentral:rRNA from 1 species
CCUACGGGAGGCAGCAGUGAGGAAUAUUGGUCAAUGGACGAGAGUCUGAACCAGCCAAGUAGCGUGAAGGAUGACUGCCCUAUGGGUUGUAAACUUCUUUUAUAAAGGAAUAAAACGAGGCACGUGUGCUUUUUUGCAUGUACUUUAUGAAUAAGGAUCGGCUAACUCCGUGCCAGCAGCCGCGGUAAUACGGAGGAUCCGAGCGUUAUCCGGAUUUAUUUGGUUUAAAGGGAGCGUAGAUGGGUUGUUAAGUCAGUUGUGAAAGUUUGCGGCUCAACCGUAAAAUUGCAAGUGAUACUGGCAGUCUUGAGUACAGUUGAGGUAGGCGGAAUUCGUGGUGUAGCGGUGAAAUGCUUAGAUAUCACGAAGAACCCCGAUUGCGAAGGCAGCUUACUAAACUGUGACUGACAUUGAUGCUCGAAAGUGUGGGUAUCAAACAGGAUUAGAUACCCUUGUAGUC